rnacentral:tRNA from 1 species
GGCCCUAUCGUCUAACGGUCAGGACGGGAGCUUCUCAAGCUCCAAAUCGGGGUUCGAUUCCCCGUGGGGUCGCCA